rnacentral:rRNA from 1 species
UGGGGAAUAUUGGACAAUGGGCAAAAGCCUGAUCCAGCCAUGCCGCGUGUGUGAAGAAGGUCUUCGGAUUGUAAAGCACUUUAAGUUGGGAGGAAGGGCAGUAAGCGAAUACCUUGCUGUUUUGACGUUACCGACAGAAUAAGCACCGGCUAACUCUGUGCCAGCAGCCGCGGUAAUACAGAGGGUGCAAGCGUUAAUCGGAAUUACUGGGCAUAAAGCGCGCGUAGGUGGUUCGUUAAGUUGAAUGUGAAAGCCCCGGGCUCAACCUGGGAACUGCAUCCAAAACUGGCGAGCUAGAGUAGGGCAGAGGGUGGUGGAAUUUCCUGUGUAGCGGUGAAAUGCGUAGAUAUAGGAAGGAACACCAGUGGCGAAGGCGACCACCUGGGCUCAUACUGACACUGAGGUGCGAAAGCGUGGGGAGCAAACAGG